rnacentral:rRNA from 1 species
GACGUAGGGCGCGAGCGUUUGUCCGGAUUUAUUGGGCGUAAAGAGCUCGUAGGCGGCUUGUUGCGUCAGCUGUGAAAACCCGCAGCUCAACUGUGGGCUUGCAGCUGAUACGGGCAGGCUUGAGUUCGGUAGGGGAGACUGGAAUUCCUGGUGUAGCGGUGAAAUGCGCAGAUAUCAGGAGGAACACCGAGUGGCGAAGGCAGGUCUCUGGGCCACUACUGACGCUGAGAAGCGAAAGCAUGGGGAGCAAACAGG